rnacentral:rRNA from 1 species
GAUGAACGCUGGCGGCGUGCCUAAUACAUGCAAGUCGAGCGAACGGACGAGAAGCUUGCUUCUCUGAUGUUAGCGGCGGACGGGUGAGUAACACGUGGAUAACCUACCUAUAAGACUGGGAUAACUUCGGGAAACCGUAGCUAAUACCGGAUAAUAUUUUGAGCCGCAUGGUUCAAAAGUGAAAGACGGUCUUGCUGGCACUUAUAGAUGGAUCCGCGCUGCAUUAGCUAGUUGGUAAGGUAACGGCUUACCAAGGCAACGAUGCAUAGCCGACCUGAGAGGGUGAUCGGCCACACUGGAACUGAGACACGGUCCAGCCUCCUACGGGAGGCAGCAGUAGGGAAUCUUCCGCAAUGGGCGAAAGCCUGACGGAGCAACGCCGCGUGAGUGAUGAAGGUCUUCGGAUCGUAAAACUCUGUUAUUAGGGAAGAACAUAUGUGUAAGUAACUGUGCACAUCUUGACGGUACCUAAUCAGAAAGCCACGGCUAACUACGUG